rnacentral:rRNA from 1 species
GUCAAUCUGCCCAAUGAGUAUUUGAAUGGCUGCAGUAUAUCUGACUGUACAAAGGUAGCAUAAUCAAUUGGUUUUUAAAUGAAAUCUAGAAUGAAAGGAUUAAUGAAAUAUAUACUGUCUCAUAUUUAUUUAAUGAAUUUAAAAUUUUAAUAAAAAUGUUAAAAUUUUUUUAUGGGACGAUAAGACCCUAUAGAAUUUUAUAUUAAAUUUAAUUUUAUAUAAUAAUUAUAAAAUUUAAUUUAAUAUUUAGUUGGGAGAAUUAUUAAAUUUAAUAAAUUUUAAUUAAUGUAAACUUAGAUUAAAGAAAAUUUUUUGAUUUUUAAUUUAAAAUUAUUAGAUUAAAUUACCUUAGGGAUAACAGCGUAAUAUUUUUUUAUAGAUCUUAUAGAAAAAAAUGAUUGCGACCUCGAUGUUGAAUUAAGAUAAAUUUUAAACGUAGAAGUUUAAUAAUUAAGUCUG